rnacentral:lncRNA from 1 species
AACUAGGCACAUUUUAAGAAAGUUGCGUGAUCGUGAUGCUAAAGAAAUGUCUGUACAAAAUAAGAUGGCCUGGGCAGGGUUGGUUAUCUGGGUGAGAAAUUAACUACUUAAUUCCCUGGAUUUAUCCUGUAAAGCUUGAAUAGAAUUCAGACCUGCUAGUACUACCAUGGACAUUUUUUUAGCAUUCACUCUUGGGCUGCAGAUAGUAAUAUAUAAACACACACAAUGAUUAUGAGACUAUGUAAAUCUUUUUUUAAAUCUUCUUCCUAUGUUUUGGAAUUAUGGGGACAAUCUGACUGGAUAUGACACUGCAGAAUAGAUUUAAGUCGCUGUGUUUUAUGUGCUGUGAUGUCCUUGUACUGUCUUAAGUUAAUAUUGCUUGGUUUUGUUUUGUUUCUCCAGUGUUUAGUUGCAAUUAACAGCUCUCAAACUAUAGUUUGUUUUCAAAAAGGAAAAAACAAAAUAGUUUUUUACUGGGUUAAAAAUGCUUAUUAGAAUUCUCCCCCUUUGAGGUUACCUCUGGGCUUUUUGGUAAUAACUGCUUUUUUCCAGCCCAGCUGUGGUUUUCUGUUUGUUUUUUUCUAUGUUUGUGGUUUUUUUCAUCUGUAUGAGAAAUUUUGUUAUGCACUACUACUUUUUGUAUUCUAGACAGUUUUCAAAAGUUGGCCGAAGAUUUUUUUGUUUGUUUGUUUUUAAGGAAAAAGGCAUGCUUUCUGACUGACAUGAUCUUUUGCAAUACCUCAAUUUUGAAAUAUAGGAAAGAAAAUGAUAUUUUCUAAGUAAGUUUAUUCAGAAAAAUAUAUAUUAAUUUAAUUCUGCAAGAAAAAUGAUUUAACAGAUGGGUAACUUUAUUUUUUUCAUGCUUAUUUGUGUUUUUUGAAAAUGAAGAAGUUAGAGCUUUAUAACUAUAAUAUUAAAGAUCAUAUCUAACCUACAGAAAUCUACCUAAUUAUGUGAAAGAAGCAAAACUUUUUGAAGAAGCACCCCUCUUUCAUGUACUAAAAUAAUACUGAGAUUUAAAAAAAAAAGCUGGAAUAUUGUACAGCAUAAAGCUGAAGUGAAGGUGAAAAAGCAUUGUCAUAAAGAAUAGGUUUCAAAAAAUAAACUCCAUUUGGUGCUGAAAGUUGUGAAUAGGUGGUGGAAACUACUUUCCCUUAAUUUGUAUAUUUAUAAUCAAGCGUUGAUUGUGCACGACUGACCAGGAUUGUGAAAGAGUUCUUCUGUUUGUAUUUUUUUAAAGAGAACUUUUUUAGUUUAUUAAAUUAUAACAUGUUCCGUUUUGUUUUGUAAAUAAAUGUGCCCCCAAGUUGUUAAUGUUAUAUUAAAAGAGAGGGUCCUUCAAAAAAAAUUAUUUUUUAAAACACAGAGGUGUUCUGACCUGCAACUUGAUGGGAAGCCCCCGGGUAUCACAGGUCCUGUUGUGGCCUUUCCUUGAUGUGACACUUGAACUAGUCGAUUUUUUGAAGGCUAUAACCUAACCUCGACUAUUUGUUGUUAUGUGCAAUACUGUUUGUACUGUUUGUA